UACGUAGGUGGCAAGCGUUGUCCGGAAUUAUUGGGCGUAAAGCGCGCGCAGGCGGUCCUUUAAGUCCGCUGUGAAAGUCCAGGGCUCAACCCUGGAAUGCCGGUGGAAACUGUCGAGCUAGAGUCCGGAAGAGGCGAGUGGAAUUCCUGGUGUAGCGGUGAAAUGCGCAGAUAUCAGGAGGAACACCAAUGGCGAAGGCAGCUCGCUGGGACGGUACUGACGCUGAGACGCGAAAGCGUGGGGAGCAAACAG
rnacentral:rRNA from 1 species